rnacentral:lncRNA from 1 species
GUAGGAGUACCCUAUUUUCCCUUGGGUGUGGCUAUGUUUUUGGCAUAUCGGAGUGGUAGAGGGAAGAAAUGAAGUUUUUUUUUUGCGAGGAAGUUAGAAGUGUGUCUCUGUUAUCAAUGGUAUAGCCUAGAGGGUGUAUAUAUGGAUGAAAUGAGUACUACGUGCAUGAAGUCGGAUGGGUAGGCACAAGAAAUAAAUUAGCCAGCGUCCUUACAUAUGCUUUUUUUAGGGAUCGUCCUUACAUAUGUGGGCCAGCCAAAUCAUCUACGUGCACAUGUAUUCACCGAAAAGAAGAACAGAGUGUACAUGUCUGUCUUUUGGAAACUUGAGGCCCCGCUUGGAUGGACGUUUUGAGGCCUGAUACCAGCCUAAAAAUAUACCACUGAAACCCAAAAGUCCACUAAAAUAUCUACAG